UAAUACGUAGGUGGCAAGCGUUGUCCGGAUUUAUUGGGCGUAAAGCGCGCGCAGGUGGUUCGUUGCGUCCGAGGUGAAAUCUCCCGGCUCAACUGGGAGGGGUCUUCGGAUACGGGCGGACUUGAGGAGAGCAGAGGUAGGCGGAAUGCUGGGUGUAGUGGUGAAAUGCGUAGAUAUCCAGCGGAACACCAGUGGCGAAGG
rnacentral:rRNA from 1 species